GACAAACGCUGGCGGCGUGCUUCCUUAUGCAAGUCGAACGGAAAGGCCCUUCGGGGUGCUCGAGUGGCGAACGGGUGAGUAACACGUGGGUGAUCUGCCCUGCACUUUGGGAUAAGCCUGGGAAACUGGGUCUAAUACCGAAUAGGAUCACGGGCUUCAUGGUCUGUGGGGAAAAGCUUUUGCGGUGUGGGAUGGGCCCGCGGCCUAUCAGCUUGUUGGUGGGGUAAUGGCCUACCAAGGCGACAACGGGUAGCCGGCCUGAAAGGGUGACCGGCCACACUGGGACUGAAAUACGGCCCAAACUCCUACGGGAGGCAGCAGUGGGGAAUAUUGCACAAGGGGCGCAAGCCUGAUGCACCGACGCCGCGUGAGGGAUGACGGCCUUCGGGUUGUAAACCUCUUUCGCCAGGGACGAACCACAAGUGACGGUACCUGAAGAAGAAGGACCGGCCAACUACGUGCCAGCAGC
rnacentral:rRNA from 1 species